rnacentral:rRNA from 1 species
CUCGUAGGUGGCCAACUAAGUCAUACGUGAAAUCCCUCGGCUUAACCGGGGAACUGCGUCUGAUACUGGAUGGCUUGAGGUUGGGAGAGGGAUGCGGAAUUCCAGGUGUAGCGGUGAAAUGCGUGGAUAUCUGGAGGAACACCGGUGGCGAAGGCGGCAUCCUGGACCAAUUCUGACACUGAGGAGCGAAAGCCGAGGGGAGACGAAACG